rnacentral:lncRNA from 13 species
CUGUAGUCCCAGCUACUUGGAAGGCUGAGGCAGGAGAAUCACUUGAACCCGGGAGGCAGAGGUUGCAGUGAGCUGAGAUCAUGACACUGCACUCUAGCCUGGUGACAGAGUGAGACUGUGUCUCCAAAAAAAAAUGGCUGGACAUAGUGGCUCACGCCUGUAAUCCCAGCACUUUUGGGAGGCCGAGGUGGGCAAAUCACCUGAGGUCAGGAGUUUGAGACCAGCCUGGCCAACCUGGUGAAACACUGUCUCUACUAAAAAUGCAAACAUUAGCUGGACAUGGUGGUAGAUGCCUGUAAUCCCAGCUACUUGGGAGGCUUGGGUAGAACUGCUUGAACCCAGGAGAUGGAGGUUGCAGUGAAACGAGAUUGUACCAUUGCACUCCAACCUGGGCAACAAGAGUGAAACUUGGUCUCAAAAAAAAUUUUUUUUUAAUGGCAGGGUGUGGUGGCUCAUGCUUGUAAUCCCAGCACUUUGAGAGGCUGAGGCAGGUGGAUCACCUGAGGUCAGGAGUUCAAGACCAGCGUGGCCAACAUAAAGAAACCGUGUCUCUACUGUAAAUACAAAAAUAGCCAGGGCUGGUGGCACACACCUGUAGUUCCACCUUAAAGGGAGGCUGAGGCACAAAAAUGACUUGAAUCUGGGAGAUGGAGCUUGCAGUGAGCUAAGUUCCCAUCACAGCAAUCCAACUCCAGGCUGGGCGACAGAGUGAGACUACGUCUCAAAAAAAAAAAAAAAGGAAGAAAGAAAAAGUAUAUUAGUUAUUUCUCAAAGUUUCUUUUCCUGUAAAACAGGACAGACCAAUAGAAUAACCGAUUGGUUACCAUCGGGUUCUUUCAGGCCAUCUUUUUUUGCGCAGGAUUAAAGCAGGGAAAUGUCGUCGUGAUGUUGACUGAGGAUUUAAACUGGCCUGUUUGGGAAAUUAGCUGUUGUCUCUUGAUUUCUCCCCAGAAUGGGAGCCAAAAUUCUGACGUCGAAGGAUCUCUGUGAAAUUGAAUUAAAUGCCAAAACACAAACAUGAAGUAUCUGCAGGCACAAGGUCUUUUAGGCUGACUGACUGCACCAUGAACUGCAUGGCAACCUCUGUGACCUGCACAUAGACCUCCAGAUGAGUUCCUGGAACUAGAAAGCCUGAAGUAACUGGAAAGCUACAAAACGAGAAGAAUGAUCAACCUCUGCAGCACCUAAUUAACUUUGAGACAUUCUUCUAUUGUUCCUUAUUCCUACCUCAACUGAUAAGGCAAUUGGACUUUGUAACCAAACUUGCUCAACUGAUAGGUCAACCUAUCUGACUCCAGAUCUACAAUGCCC